rnacentral:rRNA from 1 species
GUGUUGUCAAGUUUUUAAGGGCACACGGUGAAUGCCUUGGCAUUAGGAGCCGAAGAAGGACGUAGGAAUCUGCGAUAAGCCUCGGGGAGUUGAUAACCAAACUUUGAUCCGAGGGUGUCCGAAUGGGGGAACCCCGCCACCGGUUGCAAGACUAGGUGGUGACCCGCAUCUGAAUAUAUAGGAUGUGUGGAGGGAACGUGGGGAAGUGAAACAUCUCAGUACCCACAGGAAGAGAAAACAAUAGUGAUUCCGUUAGUAGUGGCGAGCGAACGCGGAACAGGCUAAACCGUGUCAUGUGUGAUAGCCGGCGGGCGUUGCAUGGUGCGGGGUUGUGGGACUUACCGAUCUAGUUCUGCCGGACUAGGAAGAGGAAUGGUGCAUGUAUAGGUGAAUGGUUUUGAAUGGCCGACCGUAGAGGGUGAGAGUCCCGUAACCGAAAUGCAGUGCACUCUCUUUGGUGAGUAUCCCAAGUAGCACGGGGCCCGAGAAAUCCCGUGUGAAUCUGUCAGGACCACCUGAUAAGCCUAAAUACUACCUAAUGACCGAUAGCGGACAAGUACCGUGAGGGAAAGGUGAAAAGUACCCCGGGAGGGGAGUGAAAUAGUACCUGAAACCGUGUGCUUACAAUCCGUCAGAGCAAGCGAGCCCCUUGGGGUUGUUGUUCUUGUGAUGGCGUGCCUUUUGAAGAAUGAGCCUGCGAGUUAGUGUUACGUCGCGAGGUUAACCCGUGUGGGGAAGCCGUAGCGAAAGCGAGUCUGAAUAGGGCGAGUUUAGUGGCGUGAUCUAGACCCGAAGCGAAGUGAUCUACCCAUGGCCAGGUUGAAGCGCGUGUAAGAGCGCGUGGAGGACCGAACCCACUUCAGUUGAAAAUGGAGGGGAUGAGCUGUGGGUAGGGGUGAAAGGCCAAUCAAACUUCGUGAUAGCUGGUUCUCCCCGAAAUGCAUUUAGGUGCAGCGUUGCGUGUUUCUUACUGGAGGUAGAGCUACUGGAUGGCUAAUGGGCCCUACAAGGUUACUGACGUCAGCCAAACUCCGAAUGCCGGUAAGUCAGAGCGUAGCAGUGAGACUGUGGGGGAUAAGCUUCAUAGUCGAGAGGGAAACAGCCCAGACCACCAACUAAGGCCCCUAAGCGUGUGCUAAGUGGGAAAGGAUGUGGGAUUGCUUAGACAACCAGGAGGUUGGCUUAGAAGCAGCCAUCCUUAAAAGAGUGCGUAAUAGCUCACUGGUCAAGUGAUUCCGCGCCGACAAUGUAGCGGGGCUCAAGUACACCGCCGAAGUUGUGGAUUUCAAACACUACCCAAGCAGAUCAAGAUUUAUCUUGUACCUGUUCAGGGGUUUGGAGUGGUAGGGGAGCGUCGUGUAGGCAUUGAAGUCGCAGUGUGAACUAGCGGUGGAGCCUACACGAGUGAGAAUGCAGGCAUGAGUAGCGAAAGACGGGUGAGAAACCCGUCCGCCGAAUGAUCAAGGGUUCCAGGGUCAAGCUAAUCUGCCCUGGGUAAGUCGGGACCUAAGGCGAGGCCGACAGGCGUAGUCGAUGGACAACGGGUUGAUAUUCCCGUACCGGUGAAGAACCGCCCAUAUUGAACUAAUGAUACUAACCAUCCCUUUCCACCAUUGAGUACCCUUCGGGGUCAGGAUGUGUGGGGAGCGUGGGACCUGAGUUAGGGAGGUAAACGUAUUAACAGGUGUGACGCAGGAAGGUAGCCAAGCCGGGCGAUGGUUGUCCCGGUCUAAGGACGUAGGAAACACGAUAGGCAAAUCCGUUGUGUUGUCUUCAAUGACGAUUCUGAGAUCUGAUGGGACCCCCGCAUGGGGGAAUUUGGUGAUCCUAUGCUGCCUAGAAAAGCAUCGACGUGAGGUUCUAACUGCCCGUACCCCAAACCGACACAGGUGAUCAGGUAGAGAAUACUAAGGCGAUCGAGAGAAUUAUGGUUAAGGAACUCGGCAAAAUGCCCCCGUAACUUCGGGAGAAGGGGGGCCUGCCCCGUGAAGGAACCUAGCGUUCCGUGAGCGGGUGUGGGCCGCAGAGACCAGGGGGAAGCGACUGUUUACUAAAAACACAGGUCCAUGCGAAGUCGCAAGACGAUGUAUAUGGACUGACUCCUGCCCGGUGCUGGAAGGUUAAGAGGACCGGUUAGCUCACUUGUGAGCGAAGCUGAGAAUUUAAGCCCCAGUAAACGGCGGUGGUAACUAUAACCAUCCUAAGGUAGCGAAAUUCCUUGUCGGGUAAGUUCCGACCUGCACGAAUGGAGUAACGACUUCCCCGCUGUCUCAACCAUAAACUCGGCGAAAUUGCAGUACGAGUAAAGAUGCUCGUUACGCGCAGCAGGACGGAAAGACCCCGAGACCUUUACUAUAGUUUGGUAUUGGUGUUCGGAGUGGCUUGUGUAGGAUAGGUGGGAGACUGUGAAGUCACGACGCUAGUUGUGAUGGAGUCAUCGUUGAAAUACCACUCUGGUCACUUUGGACAUCUAACUUCGGCCCGUAAUCCGGGUCAGGGACAGUGCCUGAUGGGUAGUUUAACUGGGGCGGUUGCCUCCUAAAAAGUAACGGAGGCGCCCAAAGGUUCCCUCAGCCUGGUUGGCAAUCAGGUAUCGAGUGUAAGUGCACAAGGGAGCUUGACUGUGAGAGGGACACCUCGAGCAGGGACGAAAGUCGGGACUAGUGAUCCGGCGGCACAUUGUGGAAUGGCCGUCGCUCAACGGAUAAAAGGUACCUCGGGGAUAACAGGCUGAUCUUGCCCAAGAGUCCAUAUCGACGGCAUGGUUUGGCACCUCGAUGUCGGCUCGUCGCAUCCUGGGGCUGGAGUAGGUCCCAAGGGUUGGGCUGUUCGCCCAUUAAAGCGGUACGCGAGCUGGGUUUAGAACGUCGUGAGACAGUUCGGUCCCUAUCCGCUGCGCGCGCAGGAAAUUUGAGAAGGGCUGUCCUUAGUACGAGAGGACCGGGACGGACGAACCUCUGGUGUGUCAGUUGUACUGCCAAGUGCAUCGCUGAUUAGCUACGUUCGGAUGGGAUAACCGCUGAAAGCAUCUAAGCGGGAAGCCCGCUUCAAGAUGAGAUUUCCCUACACUAUAUGUGUGAGAGGCCCCCAGCAGACCACUGGGUUGAUAGGCCGGAUGUGGAAGCGAGGACUAAAGACUCGUGAAGCUGACCGGUACUAAUAGGCCGAUAACUUACACAACACACAAAUCUU